rnacentral:rRNA from 1 species
UACGAAGGGGGCUAGCGUUGCUCGGAAUCACUGGGCGUAAAGGGUGCGUAGGCGGGUCUUUAAGUCCGGGGGGAAAUCCUGGAGCUCAACUCCAGAACUGCCUUUGAUACUGAAGAGCUUGAGUUCGGGAGAGGUGAGUGGAACUGCGAGUGUAGAGGUGAAAUUCGUAGAUAUUCGCAAGAACACCAGUGGCGAAGGCGGCUCACUGGCCCGAUACUGACGCUGAUGCACGAAAGCGUGGGGAGCAAACAGG